AUUGAACGCUGGCGGCAGGCCUAACACAUGCAAGUCGAACGGUAACAGGAAGCAGCUUGCUGCUUUGCUGACGAGUGGCGGACGGGUGAGUCAUGUCUGGGAAACUGCCUGAUGGAGGGGGAUAACUACUGGAAACGGUAGCUAAUACCGCAUAACGUCGCAAGACCAAAGAGGGGGACCUUAGGGCCUCUUGCCAUCGGAUGUGCCCAGAUGGGAUUAGCUAGUAGGUGGGGUAACGGCUCACCUAGGCGACGAUCCCUAGCUGGUCUGAGAGGAUGACCGGCGACACGGGAACGUAGACACGGUCCAGACUCCUACGGGAGGCAGCAGUGGGGAAUAUUGCACAAUGGGCGCAAGCCUUAUGCAGCCAUGCCGCGUGUAUGAAGAAGGCCUUCGGGUUGUAAAGUACUUUCAGCGGGGAGGAAGGGAGUAAAGUUAAUACCUUUGCUCAUUGACGUUACCCGCAGAAGAAGCACCGGCUAACUCCGUG
rnacentral:rRNA from 1 species